AAACGCUGCACCGAAUUAGGAGAUGAAGCAGAGACGUUUCUGUUGGAAUCACACCUCGGCAGCGUCUGAGCCCAACGCCUUCUCUCCUCUGUUCCUCCCUUCCCUCCAGCUCAGACUUAGAUAUUCACUCUGGCGCUGGAGUCUCGCUUUUCUUUCUUCCCUUCUCACGAAAAGGACUUGCUGUCUCAACUCUUUCACAGGCUUUCAUUUUAUUCUGGCUUUCGAAACUUCCCUUCCAUAUUUUUUCCUUCCCUUUGUGUUUCUUUCUGGGUUUCCUUUCUCAAAACCAUUUGCUAUGUAUUCUUUCCCCACUCACUCAUUCAUUGAUUUGUUCAUCCUUUCUUCCACCUUUCCCUUUUCACACAUGCACAAAAAAACCCUCAAUGUACCUUUCCAAUCUCUUCACUGCUGAUCUAAAACAGAAAACCAGGGAGAAAAAGUCAGGUCAAAAUCGUGGGCUUAGACCUGAAUUGCAUGAAAAGCAAGUUCAAAAAGUAAAGAAACCUUGUGCUAAGCACACCUUUAUAUAGGAUUUCUCUCCAGGAAUUCUGGCUUCUCUCCCAUACAGCAAUCACUAGUGGGGAGAUUGCAUACAACAGAGGCAUUUGGAGAGAGAAGCAGAGGAGGAGAGAGAAACCAAUUAUCUGGGCCUAUAUUUGGGCCACUCGUAUGUCCGGAUGUGAAAAUGGCUAUCGUCAUGGGGUCCUUUUGCCGAACUGUCUUUGGCCCUCACUACCGCUGGCCUGGUGACCCACAUAUGAAAUCUGUGUCUGAUAUUGGGAGAAACUGUAAGGCUAUCCAAUCCAACCCUCUUCCGGAAAUCAGGACAGUUCUCCUGUUAGCUCCCGCCUCGUAACUGCCUAAUUUCCAAUAUGAUUUGGGCUCAAAUCCUUGCAAGGUGCUGUUGUUGUUUCCCUAAUACCAGCUAUGUAGAAACCAGGCAGUGUUGCUCAGAAGAGACCGGCGGGGGUGGCAUGGCACUCUGCACAUGCUUAGUUCAAUCCUGUUCUUUCCCAUGAUCCAAUGCCUAGCUUUCGCACAUGAAAGAUAAUAAUAAUCUGGCUGGAUUUCCCCAGAUGCAGAUCUGAUCAUCACAAUCCGGCCUACCAUCAAAAUGCACUUACAAGCUGAGUCAGAUGAAAUACAGGAAUAACCCACCAACCCUAUGGUCCACAGGAAAAGGCCCAAAAAUGUUCCCAUUUUUGUGUAGACCCCCCUGCCAUGCCCCCUUGUACUUUGCUGUGGUUCUGAAAUCUAUUUAUAUUUCAUCCCACCUACUCACUUCAUUGCCUUCUCCCCCCCCCAUCUCC